rnacentral:rRNA from 1 species
GAUACACGGACCAAGGAGUCUAGCAUGUACGCGAGUCAUUGGGACAUAACUAAACCUAAAGGCGCAAUGAAAGUAAAGGUCCGCCUUGCGCGGACUUAGGGAAGAUGGGCGGUCCUUGUGGCCGCUUCGCACUCCCGGGGCGUCUCGUUCUCAUUGCGAGAAGAGGCGCACCAAGAGCGUACACGCUGGGACCCGAAAGAUGGUGAACUAUGCCUGGUCAGGACGAAGUCAGGGGAAACCCUGAUGGAGGUCCGUAGCGAUUCUGACGUGCAAAUCGAUCGUCGGAACUGGGUAUAGGGGCGAAAGACUAAUCGAACCAUCUAGUAGCUGGUUCCCUCCGAAGUUUCCCUCAGGAUAGCUGGCGCUCGUUGCGCACGAGUCUCAUCCGGUAAAGCGAAUGAUUAGAGGCAUUGGGGUCGAAACGGCCUCAACCUAUUCUCAAACUUUAAAUGGGUGAGAUCUUCGGCUUGCUCGAACUAUUGAAGCCGUAAGACACGGAUCAGAGUGCCAAGUGGGCCAUUUUUGGUAAGCAGAACUGGCGCUGUGGGAUGAACCAAACGCCGAGUUAAAGCGCCUAAAUCGACGCUUAUGGGAUACCAUGAAAGGCGUUGGUAACUUAAGACAGCAGGACGGUGGCCAUGGAAGUCGGAAUCCG